AGGUAGCGAAAUUCCUUGUCGGGUAAGUUCCGACCCGCACGAAAGGCGUAACGAUCUGGGCACUGUCUCAACGAGAGACUCGGUGAAAUUAUAGUACCUGUGAAGAUGCAGGUUACCCGCGACAGGACGGAAAGACCCCAUGGAGCUUUACUGUAGUUUGAUAUUGAGUGUUUGUGUCACAUGUACAGGAUAGGUAGGAGCUGAAGAAUCCGGGACGCCAGUUUCGGAGGAGGCAACGGUGGGAUACUACCCUUGUGACAUGACCACUCUAACCCGCACCCCUUACCGGGGUGGGAGACAGUGUCAGACGGGCAGUUUGACUGGGGCGGUCGCCUCCUAAAGUGUAACGGAGGCGCCCAAAGGUUCCCUCAGAAUGGUUGGAAAUCAUUCGUAGAGUGUAAAGGCAGAAGGGAGCUUGACUGCGAGACCUACAAGUCGAGCAGGGACGAAAGUCGGGCUUAGUGAUCCGGUGGUACCGUAUGGAAGGGCCAUCGCUCAACGGAUAAAAGCUACCCUGGGGAUAACAGGCUUAUCUCCCCCAAGAGUUCACAUCGACGGGGAGGUUUGGCACCUCGAUGUCGGCUCAUCGCAUCCUGGGGCUGAAGUCGGUCCCAAGGGUUGGGCUGUUCGCCCAUUAAAGCGGUACGCGAGCUGGGUUCAGAACGUCGUGAGACAGUUCGGUCCCUAUCCGUCGCGGGCGUAGGAAAUUUGAGAAGAGCUAUCCUUAGUACGAGAGGACCGGGAUGGACGCACCGCUGGUGUACCAGUUGUUCUGCCAAGGGCAUCGCUGGGUAGCUAUGUGCGGGAUGGAUAAGCGCUGAAAGCAUCUAAGCGUGAAGCCAGCUUCAAGAUGAGAUUUCCCAUUCGAAAGAAGUAAGACCCCUGAGAGACGAUCAGGUAGAUAGGCUAGAAGUGGAAGUGGAGUGAUCCAUGGAGCGGACUA
rnacentral:rRNA from 1 species